rnacentral:rRNA from 1 species
UUCCGGUUGAUCCUGCCGGAGGCUACCGCUAUUGGAGUUCGAUUAAGCCAUGCGAGUCGAGAGUCUUAGGGACUCGGCGUACCGCUCAGUAACACGUGGGUAACCUGCCCUAUGCUGGGGAAUAACCUCGGGAAACUGAGAAUAAUACCCCAUAGUUCACCACGCCUGGAACGGUGGGUGGAUGAAAGCUCCGGCGGCAUAGGAUGGGCCUGCGACGUAUCAGGUUGUAGGGGGUGUAACGUACCCUCUAGCCAUCAACGCGUACGGGUGUUGGGAGACAUAGCCCGGAGAUGGAUUCUGAGACACGAAUCCAGACCCUACGGGGUGCAGCAGGCGCGAAAACUUGGCAAUGCGAGCAAUCGUGACCAGGGAACUCCAAGUGGCUGGGGUAAUACCCAGUUUUUUCUUGACUCUUCAAAGGUCUUGGAAUAAGGGGUGGGUAAGGACGGUGCCAGCCGCCGCGGUAAUACCGGCGCCUCAAGUGGUAGUCGCUUUUAUUGGGCCUAAAACGUCCGUAGCCGGUCUGGUGCAUUCGUGGGUAAAUCAACCCGCUCAACGGGUUGAAUUCUGCGAGCACGGCCAGACUUGGGACC